rnacentral:pre_miRNA from 1 species
GUCCCGCCUGAGUUGGAAGUGGGAUCCUGACACGUGAGGACUUUGGCCAGUGCCAGAUCUAACUCUUCCAGCUCACGUGAGGU